rnacentral:rRNA from 1 species
CAGCCGCCGCGGUAAUACGAAGGGUGCAAGCGUUACUCGGAAUUACUGGGCGUAAAGCGUGCGUAGGUGGUGGUUUAAGUCCGUUGUGAAAGCCCUGGGCUCAACCUGGGAAUUGCGAUGGAUACUGGGCGACUAGAGUGCGGUAGAGGAUAGUGGAAUUUCCGGUGUAGCAGUGAAAUGCGUAGAGAUCGGAGGGAACAUCUGUGGCGAAGGCGACUAUCUGGGCCAACACUGACACUGAGACACGAAAGCGUGGGGAGCAAACAGGAUUAGAUACCCCAGUAGUCCCUGUCUCUUAUAC